UUUAGUCGCAAAAAAGUUGCAAA
rnacentral:snRNA from 1 species